GAGUACACACUGCUGGCUCACAGUGAGGUUUUCAUUAAUCAUCACCCCUAAUAUUUCUCCGUAGGGCUGUUCUCAGUCCCUUCUCCAUCCAACCUGUGAUGCUCAGAGAAGCUGUGGCUGCCCCUGGAUCCUUGGAAGUGUCCAAGACCAGCAGAAAGUAACAGCAUCUGAGUACUGAAUUCUCAAGCAGAAGUCAGGGAGAAGUGCUGCCACACAGAGGCAGAGUUGAGGCUGCUUCUAAAGGGAAGGAGUGAAGGAAGAAAAUCUUUUUUGGUUAGAAAUUACCUGGAUUUCCUGCUGGGGACACCCCAUCACCCUUCAAGGCUUUUUCCUUGUCCAAGAACUCAUAUUUUUGGUUGUUUUCCUAAGAGCUGCUGGGUUUGAUACAGGAUGAAGGAUGAUGAAAUAAGAGAGGCUUGUGAAAACAAGAAAUCAUCUUUUCUCGAUGAUGUCUGUGCCUCAUAAACUCAGAUGCUGCAGCAUCUUUUUAUGUCCUGAGGAUGAGCUGAACACUAAACCAGAUGAACAAGCUGCAGGAGCCCAGCACUUGCCCACCUGGGGCUGACCUUUUGAAGGACCACUUGAGGAGAGUGGAGGCUUGGCCAGGUGAUGAUUCCAAGCUCUGCAGUCCCUGGAUCAGGUACAGCAUCACAGCCCUGACUUCAUUUACAGCUCCUGCAUUUCUGAAAUGCCAAGAGAUUAUGCAGAGAGCUUUCCUGAGUGUGAUCAUGUGAGGCAAAGAGACAUGAAGUCAUUGUCCUAAAGCCCAAGGUGAAACCAGGCUGUCCCAAAAACUCCCAGCCAGGCCUGGAGCUGCAUUUUGUAGUGCUGCAGGAAGAACAACUGAUCCUGGCUAAUUUUUUCUAGAUGGUUUUGUUAAGGUGAAGGGGAUUUUGUGGUCAUACCAACACACAACCACAAUUUGAGCAAGGUUUGGGUUACAAAAUUACCAGAUGUCUGUGAAUUUCAUGAGUUGUCCAGUUAGAGUGGGCUGUUUCCUGGCUUCAUCCUUUUGGCAAAGCUGGCAUCCAGAAUUCCACUCAGAGCAGUUUUCUGGCCAUCAAGGUUAAAAAAAUAGAAGUCAAGAUGUAAUUAUUUCUCUGUGGCUCAGGAUUCCAUUCCAGGAGCUCUAUCCAUACAUGAAUGCUUUUUUCCUUCAGAGAAAUCCUGUAUUUCACAGGAAAUAAUUUGUUCUUUUUUUCUGGUUUCUGGACUGAAACCCCCAGGGGUGACAGUGACUUCUCAGGAGCCACAUUGAGCUCGGUGCAUGUGAACAUUCCACACUGUCCAUGGCUGGGAAGGAUUAACAGAAUCCCCUCCUCCUGCUUGGACAUUCCCCCCUGGAAAGCACAUUCCCAUCCAACAGGCCCAUUUCCUUCUGCUCCACAGCACCUGAGCUGCCUCAGCCAGGCUUCACAGGGCCCACGGUGUUCAAGGGUUCAGAUUUUUGGGAGCAGAGAGUUUCCCAUCAUCGGCUCUGCACGAUCAGUUUGAUGCUUCCCACUUUGGAAAACCACUUGGAAGACCUCGGAAUUAUUCUCACAAUCCUCUCUGAGCUAAGAAACCCCAGUAACUGCUAAUUAUUCGGUAAUUAAUUGUCUCUCUGGGGUUGUAAUUGUGGGUGUGGCCUCUCCCCAUCAUUGUGUGGUCGUUAGGCAGCAGUUUCCUCAAUGCCCAAACAAAUUCUGUCUUUCCCAUUUGAUUGGAUUACAGAAUUGCCUUCAACUCUGUGGAGAUGAUGAGGAAAAGUGUGGUUCUGCACAGGAGUUACCAUGGGAACUAAAGUAGGGAGAGAUCUUUGUAAACCAGAAGUCAAGCAGACUGUGUUUCAGACAAUUAAUAUUGUCUCAUUCACGAGCUUUAACCCUUCUGUGUUCCAAUGUAGUUUUGACCUCUUUUUCCAUAUCAAAUGCUGUGUCAAAGAGGUUCUGCUCCCAU